AGUCCUUUCAAUAUCUAUCGAAUAAUCCCUUUCCUCUCUCCAUCUCCAACCUCUGCUCACCUUCCUCAACUUUUCUUCACCCUUUACUUUAUUUAUAUGUAUAUAUAUAAUCUCGAACAUCCCCAGUUCCUCUCUUAUCAUUCUCUUUGGAGCCCCACAAAUGGAAGGUCAAGAUGCACCACCUCCACCAUUACCACAACUGCCACCCUCUCUCUUCUCACCUUCACUUCUUCCUUCCUCAUCAUUGCAACCUCCCUUUAUUGAGCCUCAAGUCCUUCCGGAUAUUGAUUGGGUUAGCCUUCUCUCGGGUCAAUCCGGGGUAGGAGAUCAGAAUAGGCCACCAACGAUGGAAAGCGCUUCUGUGAUAGCUGAGGAAGAAAAGAAGGAAAACAAAGAUAGAAUGAGAAAGAGUGGCCGAAUCAUGAAGAAACAUAGUCGGCCUAGGUUUGCUUUUCAAACUAGGAGUGCCGAUGAUAUUCUCGAUGACGGCUACCGCUGGAGGAAAUAUGGCCAGAAAGCUGUGAAAAACAGCUCAUAUCCCAGGAGUUACUAUCGCUGCACCCAUCCCACCUGCAAUGUGAAGAAGCAAGUCCAAAGACUCUCCAAGGACACGAGCAUAGUAGUCACAACUUACGAGGGAAUUCAUAACCAUCCUUGCGAGAAGCUCAUGGAAACUCUAACUCCUCUUCUUAAGCAGAUGCAGUUCUUCGCUAGGUUCUAAGUUCACUCUCAGCUGUAAUUAAUUGGUGUUCAAGAACAAAUCAAAAGCAGAAGUUUAAUGAUUCUGUUCUUGGCAUUCUGCAAUUUAUAUAUACUUCCUGUACUUGUUAUUAUAUGCAUACAUGCAGUAACCUCGUGUCAAUACCAUAGAAUCAAUAAACUUUUAUAGAAGACUUGCAAUGUGAUAGAUUGAUCGACGGCUCGAUCGAGAUCCACUAUAGCUGAAAAACCCCAUCCCCACCUAAGUUUUCAAGUGACCCAUGUUCAUGUUGGACCGCAGUCAGAUCACUUUAUAAU
rnacentral:misc_RNA from 1 species